AUACUACUCCCUCCGUCCGAAAUACUUGUCAUCAAAAUGGACAAAAAAAGAUAUAUGUAAAACUAAAAUACAUCUAGAUACAUCUCCUUUUAUUUAUUUUGAUGACAAGUAUUUUCGGACGGAGGUAGUACUAC
rnacentral:pre_miRNA from 1 species